CACAAACCAGGCCCCUUUCAGAGAAACAGCUCCCAUGGAAUGACUCUGCCUAGAGGCAAAUAAAGAUGAACAUGUUCAACUGAUUGAUGAGAAGCACAUCCAGGCCCAGGAUUCUUUCUACUACUCUGGGACUCAAGCAGAUACAUGGCUUCUGUUCUUGAGGAAAUUGAGAAUGUAGAAGGAUGCAAACAUUCUAGACAUAAACACGAACCCACUCACCCAAAAAGUACAUGAUGAACACCUACAGUAUGCUAGGCAGGCCCAGGUAAAUGGCUUGGCCCUGAAGACAUAGGUGAUAUUUUCAGGAUAAAGGUCUUCUCCCUUUCUCUUGUUUCCUUAACACUAGUUAAGUGUUAAGGAACCAUUGACUGAUCAGUAUGUGUGGGUCCAUGAGCUUUCUGAAUAUAACCAUUAUUUUCCCCAGUCUACCCAAGUGAUAAGGAAAUAGUAAGUUUCAGGUCUGAUUCCCAGAAUUCUUGAUGGAAAUAUACAAACGAAUCUCCUAAAUCUCUUGUUGCACAUGGGGAAAGCCAGCCAGCCGAGGAGAGACCUUCAUGGGCCAUUAGGUACCAUCCUGUUUCUCAAUGUACUUUUAAAACCCAAGGAGGCCAUGAAUGUGAGGAUGUUCUCAUUCAUUCCUGCUUACCCAGAUAUGUGGAGAGACCUCUGCGUCUUGGUUUGGGGGUCAUGUGUAUUGUUCCCCCAUGCCAUUUCUUCAUGACCGGCCAGAAAUGUAUCACAAAUGGAGGACUGACAUGACAACCCCUGCCAUUCUUCUUCUAGUGGGUCCUCCUUUGCCCUAGUGACACGGGCUUCCAUUUACCUUCCCUCAGGACUGGUCUUUCUCCACUGUCCAGGCAGUUUCUGAAGAGACCGCACUACCUAACCGAGUGAUUACUUCAGGACUUGAAAUAGCUUUUUUCCUGUCCCAGAUAUGACACAGUCACUUCCUCAGUAGAGCCAUCACUCCAAGAGGAACAGGACGUCCUUGUAACGGAGCCAGGAAGGUCACAUGAUCAGACAGCCGGGGGCCUCCUGGGACCUCGUUUCCCCUUAAGCUGUUGGCAAGGACUUGUCUAUGAAAGUCUGUCUAUGAGAGGCCCUGGCAAGCCAUCCCGAACCUACCCUCCUAUAGGGUUUCAGUCCAAAGCAAUUUCUGCAGGGAAUAAACUUUUGAUGAAUGAAUGACAAGCAGGGUGAUUGGGGAGGAUUUCUGUGGAAUAUCUUUGGUGAUCACAUAGAAAUAAACCCAGCAUGCACAGGCUUCCACAUUAGGAGGUCAGGGGAUCCCCAUGAUCCUGUUAUCUUUGUCUUCAGUGGCACCCUUAAAGGAGGCCAUAAAGUUUGGACAAGUAGCCCAAUUUGCUGAUUGGGGAAUCCCUUGGCAUAGUCUGGAGCCAGCUAGAGUAGAGAGUGAGAAACAGGGAGGAAAGAUUUUCCCUAGAAUUCAGGAUCAGGCAAAAG
rnacentral:lncRNA from 1 species